UUAAAUGUGUUUUAUGAACGCGAUUUUAGGAAGGAGAGGGCAUCCAGAUGCCGCAGCAACCACUCUCCAUUUAAGCAAAGCAGGCGUCCCAGAAAGGGACUGAUCAGAGGUCAACGGGAGCUACACGCCUUUCGAGCACAACUGGUGUCGCGGGGCAUGCUGGGAAGCAUGUUUCUUGUGCCUGGAGCCCUCUGGGUAGUGUAGUCCUGGUGCCUGCUGGGCACAGGGGUGGGAGGUGCUCCCCAGCUGGAGGCUGGAGCAUCCCUUGUCCUUUGCUGAAGAAUAGGCGCUCUCUGUCCCCUUGCCCUCAUGGCCAGCAGCCUUGUACCUGUUACCGAAACAGCUUGCACAUAGCUGUCAGGAGCCACAGUGGACAAUCCAGCUAUCAAGGAUCCACAUACUUCUGCCUCCCAAGCGUUGGAGUAAAGGAAUUCCAUUUUCAAAACCAAAGCUCAUCACCCAGCUAGAGCAAGGGACAGAGACAAGGCGAGAAGAGAGGAAACGUUCACAGGCUGCCGGUCAAGGAAAUGGAACCCUUAGGUAUCCUGAAUUGACUGGUCACAAAAACUUACUGCUUGGAAGAUAAGGGCAUAGCUCCAAGACUCUUCAGGCCUUUGAAACAUUAAUUACCUGGCCCAGCGACCACACAAAGUGACUUCAGUGAACGCCAAAGCAAUCACUAAAUAACAUUUUGAUACCUGAGCCAGAGAAUCUUGUUUUGACGUCUUUGUGGAGUGCAAUUCAGAUAGAAGUGUAGGGAAACCAACAGAAACACCCAGCUAGGCAGUCUGAUUUUCUUUUUCAUCCAGAUUCACUCCAAAAGUUGUUUUUACACUAAAUGUACACAUCCAAGUUUUUUUUAAAAGGUGGCCCAGAAACACAAUUAGGUCUUUCUCUUUUCUUUUUAACUUCAUGUAUUCGAAUGUGUUUUGCCCAAGUGUAUGCCCGUGUGUCACAUGCAUGCCUGGAGCCCUCUGAGGCCACCAGAGGGCACCAGGUAACUGGAACGGGAGUUAUAGGUGGUUGGUUGUGAGCCACACUGGGUGUUGGGAAUUGAACCCCGUUCUCUGUGACAGCAGUCAUUGCACUUAACCUCAGGAGUAACUAACUGCCUUGGUCCCGGGAUGGCAGUUCUUCAUCCACAUUUGCAUACUAGGAUUAUCUGGCUGUAAUAGCAUACUAUAUUUCCUUCCCAAAAUAUUCUUGAAAUUAGGACUUUUUAAUCCCAAUCCACCAAGUCUUUUGAAAAUAAUUAUGCCAGAGUUUUAAAAAUGUGUGUGUGUGUGUGUG
rnacentral:lncRNA from 1 species